rnacentral:rRNA from 1 species
UUGAGAGCAGCGUACGGGUGCGGAACACGUGUGCAACUGCUUUAUCUGGGGGAUAGCCUUUCGAAAGGAAGAUUAAUACCCCAUAAUAUGUUGAAUGGCAUCAUUCAACAUUGAAAACUCCGGUGGAUAGAGAUGGGCACGCGCAAGAUUAGAUAGUUGGUGAGGUAACGGCUCACCAAGUCUACGAUCUUUAGGGGGCCUGAGAGGGUGAUCCCCCACACUGGUACUGAGACACGGACCAGACUCCUACGGGAGGCAGCAGUGAGGAAUAUUGGACAAUGGGUGAGAGCCUGAUCCAGCCAUCCCGCGUGAAGGACGACUGCCCUAUGGGUUGUAAACUUCUUUUGUAUAGGGAUAAACCUACCCUCGUGAGGGUAGCUGAAGGUACUAUACGAAUAAGCACCGGCUAACUCCGUGCCAGCAGCCGCGGUAAUACGGAGGGUGCAAGCGUUAUCCGGAUUAUGGGUUUAAAGGGUCCGUAGGCGGAUCUGUAAGUCAGUGGUGAANCUCUCAAAGUUAAUGUGAAAUUGCAUUGAUAUGAGGUCUUGAGUGUGUGAGUAGUGGAAUUAAGUAGUGUAGGGGUGAAAUGGUAGAUUUUUA